ACUGAGCGGAUCAGCGUGUGUCUACCCUUCGCCGAGAGGCGUGGGUAACCCGCUGAACCCCACUCGUGAUAGGGAUUGGGGAUUGCAAUUAUUUCCCAUGAAC
rfam:Salmo salar isolate Sally breed double haploid chromosome ssa08, whole genome shotgun sequence.